UCAAAACAACAUCCACUCGAGCAGCCAUUUAAAAAGAAAAACUAUGCUACCCCAGGAUGAGAAAAUCUUGGAGGCACAACUUCUCAGCCCGGUAAUCAAAGUCUUUUAAUGCUCCAAUCCUAGCCCACAUUCCUACAUUAGAGUACUCUAUCUCCCAAGUUUGUCAUUUUCGUGUUCUCUUUGACCAGCUGACAAAUCUUCUCCCUCAUUCCUCAAUCCAGUGAAUUAGCUUCUGCUAUAUGCCAGGCACUUGGGAUAAAAAGGCAAAAUUGGAGUUCCUGCCCUCAAAGAACUUACAUUCUGCCAGGUUUUCCUACCUACUUAAGUCACAUGACUUCUCAAGAUGGAUCAGUGCAAGAUAAGUCUAGAUCAUGAAGAACUUUGGAAAUAAAGAGUGAAGCACCUCAAACGUGCCACCUCAUCUACAGACUUCUUGAUUGGCAGAGGAUAAGCCUUGGAUUAGAAAAAUGGACCAAUGGUAGCUUCAUACACAGCCCAGUCUCUGCGUACAUGACUGAUUCUAAGUCUCUGAAAGGGGAAUGGUGGCAAUGAGCCUGAUCAAGAACAAGACAACAGGCUGAGACCACAUACUACAGGAAUCUAGAACAGAUCUCUGUCCUUUUAGUUCAAGCUGCCAUUAAGUUAGUGAGAUGCAAACCCAGAGACCAUGACCUCCCUGCCUAGGCUUCAGUGACCAGAGGGGCAGAUCUCUCAGAAACUCAAGCAAUACAACACAUGAGGAGGAAGAGAGGAGGAGAAGAAAGAAGACAGAAGGUGAAAGAACAAGAGGAGUGCCAAGCUUUCUUUAAACUAGUUGCCCUCCACAGCUUCUGUUUUGAGACAAUAUUGCCAUUGCCUUCCAUCAUCUUUCUCUAGAAGAUUUUACAAAUUAGUCAACACACUAAACUAAUGUUGCCUUUGGCUGCCAUAAAUCUUUGCUUGUUAAGUAAGUCAAAUAAAUAUCUGCUGACUAAAGUACUUCUUAA